ACGGGUGUCGCCAAGUCUGGCUCAAGGCACUGGUCUCCAAAACCAGCAUAUGUCGGGGGUUCGAAUCCCUCCACCCGUGCCA
rnacentral:tRNA from 2 species